AACUAGAUUACCUGUAUGCAGAGGAAAUUGAAUGUUAACUUCAAAGUGGUGGGUCGGUGUGUGCUCAACAAAGAAGAAUCCUCACUCACAUGCUGUGCUCAAAACACUUAACAGCUCCCUUCAGCUAUAAAAGUGAAACCACAGGCCUGAUUCUGCAUCUGCUGAACUUUAAACAGGGAACCUUUACGCUAUGGGACUGAGAUCUUUCAAGUAGUUAUUUGGAAUACCUGGAAAAUGCAUGGAAAGACUGUAACAGACUUUACAUCUAAGCUGCAUUUGGAUUCCAACAUUUUGGGCUGAUUCCAGAAAGACUACUGCAAGCCAGCAGACUCAUCCAUCAUUGCUACAAACCUGAUAUAAGGGCCUCACAAGCAUUUGUAAUGUGAAACUUGCCGUGGAGUGAAGGACGUGUGAAAGGUCCUCCAGCAUGUCAUUUGAGCCCCACUAUUUUUUAUGAAGUAGGGUGGAGGAACAAACACAGAAGCCAAAGAAGAGAGCCUCCUGCAUACUGCUGAGACAGACUCCACACUAGAUGGAAAUACAUUGGUACAGGACAGGCCACUGGAGAAGUUGAGAAGAAGGAAAGCGUCUCAGAACUGGAUGGAAAAAGAAGAAACAGUGAACUACGUCAACUCAGAAAACAUUUUUCUAAAGGGUUUCUAAAAUUGUGUCCCAGAUGUGUUCUGAGUCCUCUGCCUUCUGUCUAAUUUGGUGAGAAAGGCUAAGGCCGUCAACCAUUGGUGUCAGACAAAGGAAAAAAGAACACCAGAAUUUCCAUGAUGGAUCAGUCCAUUCAGUCUAUUAUCCUUCUUCUAACAAUGGCCAAAACUAAUGAUUCAGAGGAAGAUGUCAAAACCCCUUUAUGGAUAGUUAUGGACUAACCUGUGCAGAGAAGAAGCAGUAGUCAAGUAGUGGUUAAUUAUGCUC